GAGUGGCGCACGGGUGCGUAACACGUGAGGAACAUGCCCCUAUGUUGGGGAUAAGCCUGCGAAAGCGGGUCUAAUACCGGAUGUUGUCAUUGGACCGCAUGGCCCGAUGAUUAAAGGCGGUUGAGUCUAUGCCGCCGCAUAGGGAUUGUCUCGCGGCCCAUUAGCUUGUUGGCGGUGUAAUGGACCACCAAGGCUCCGAUGGGUAGCCGACCUGAGAGGGUGACCGGCCACACUGGGACUGAGAUACGGCCCAGACUCCUACGGGAGGCAGCAGUGGGGAAUAUUGGACAAUGGGCGAAAGCCUGAUCCAGCAAUGCCGCGUGAGUGAUGAAGGCCUUAGGGUUGUAAAGCUCUUUUACCCGGGAUGAAAUGACAGUACCGGGAGAUAAGUCCGGCUAA
rnacentral:rRNA from 1 species